rnacentral:rRNA from 1 species
UACGGAGGGGGCUAGCGUUGUUCGGAAUUACUGGGCGUAAAGCGCACGUAGGCGGCUUGGUAAGUUAGAGGUGAAAGCCUGGAGCUCAACUCCAGAAUUGCCUUUAAGACUGCCGAGCUAGCAGGUGAGAGAGGUGAGUGGAAUUCCGAGUGUAGAGGUGAAAUUCGUAGAUAUUCGGAAGAACACCAGUGGCGAAGGCGGCUCACUGGACUGGUAUUGACGCUGAGGUGCGAAAGCGUGGGGAGCAAACAGG